rnacentral:rRNA from 1 species
CACGUAGGGGCGAGCGUUGUCCGGAUUUAUUGGGCGUAAAGAGCUCGUAGGCGGUUCGAUAAGUCGGGUGUGAAACUCUGGGCUCAACUCAGAGACGCCACCCGAUACUGUUGUGACUUGAGUCCGGUAGGGGAGUAUGGAAUUCCCGGUGUAGCGGUGAAAUGCGCGAUAUCGGGAGGAACACCAGUGGCGAAGGCGGUACUCUGGGCCGGAACUGACGCUGAGGAGCUGAAAGCGUGGGUAGCGAACAGG